ACUGCGCAAGUCAGUUAAGUCACAAGACCCAGCAAACCGACCGCAAUCUGACCCACUUCUAGGAGGGACAGCCACCGCAAUGGGUCUGGCCCUAUUCUCAAAAUAGGCAGACCCUACUCCUCACUCCAUAAUCGCUUCUGAAGAAGCAAUAUUAGCAACAAUUUGAUAAUCAUCUCCUUCAAGUCUCUUCGUCGUCAAGUCGGCGAUUAGAAUCAUCUGAAGUUCUGAACUACGCCUUCAUACCCACAGAGACAUUCAAUCAAGUAACACCGGUAAUAAGGAACAAGAAGGAGUACCUGAGGUCGCUUGGAUUCAAUCUUGGAAGCUCUGCAAUCUCUCUCCGAUGUCCGCAUAGUCAAAGGUAGUUUCAUAUUCAUAUUCUGGUUGACUUUUUCCAACAAUUUUAGGGUUUAAGGUUUUGGGCAACCCAUUUUCAGUAAUACCGAAAAUUUAUCAGCAAAAUCAAUGGCCAGUUCUUCAAUCCCUCGAUUCCUCUCAUCGGGGGUUCGAUUAAAAAACCCUACUUUUUCACUUCCAUUCACAACUCUUUCAUCUGCAGAGAAAUACUGGACCCACUUGCAGAAAAAUGUUUCAAACCCAGAAAAGGCUCUAAACACAGUUGGGGCACCAUUGGACAUUUCAUGUGUCAAUGAGGUCUUACAGAGAUGUGCUCCUAAUCAACCUCUUCUGGGUCUUAGGUUCUUUGUUUGGGCUGGCCUGCAAGCUAACUAUAGACACAGCUCAUAUAUGUAUGCAAAAGUGUGUAAAUUAUUCAGAAUUAAUCGAAAUCGGCAAGUUUUUGAUGAUGUUAUUGAAGCUUAUAGGGUUGAGGGUUGUUUGGUAAGUGUUAAGACAUUUAAGGUUCUUUUGAAUUUGUGUAAGGAAGCUAAGCUUGCUGACGAGGGUUUGUGGGUAUUGAGGAAAAUGAAGGAAUUUAAUUGUCGGCCUGACACAACGGCAUAUAAUGUUGUUAUUAGAUUGUUCUGUGAGAAGGGUAAAAUGGAUGUUGCAGCAGUGUUGAUGAGGGAGAUGGGUUUGAUUGAUCUUUAUCCAGAUAUGAUUACAUAUGUUGCAAUGAUUAAGGGAUUUUGUGAUGUGGGUAGGUUGGAAGAUGCUUGUGGACUGUUUAAGGUUAUGAGGAGGCAUGGAUGUUCACCCAAUGUGGUAGCAUAUGCAACACUUGUUGAUGGGCUUUGUAGGUUUUCAAAAGUGGAGAAGGCAUUAGAGUUGUUGGAGGAGAUGGAGAAAGAGGGUGGGGAGUGUAAACCAAAUACUGUUACAUAUACGGCCGUGAUUCAGAGGCUUUGUGAGGAUGGUCGGUCAAUGGAGGCACUGCAAGUUUUGGAUCAAAUGGUGGUUUGUGGAUGCGCUCCAAAUCGUGUCACUCUCAGUACUUUAAUUAAGGGCCUUUGCACAGAGGGGUGCUUAGAGGAGACUUAUAAGCUGAUUGAUAAAGUCGUUGCAGGAGGCAGUGUUUCUAAUGGUGAGUGCUAUAGUUCUCUUAUGCUGUCACUUUUGCAGAAUCAAAAAUUGGAUGAGGCAGAGAAGCUUUCUAGAAGAAUGUUGGCCAGUGAUGUGAAGCCUGAUGGUUUGGCUUCUAGCACUCUGAUAAGAAGGCUUUGUUUGGAGGGGCGGGUGUUAGAUGGGUUUCGCUUUUAUGAUGAAAUUGAAAAGUUGGGAUACUUAACUUCGAUUGAUUCUGAUAUUUAUUCCAUUCUUUUAGCUGGACUUUGUCGGGAAAGUCAUUUGGUGGAAGCUGCAACACUUGCAAGGUUGAUGAUUAAGAAGGGAAUACAACCAAAAACUCCUUAUGUGGACGAUAUAAUUGAAUAUCUGAAGAAUUCUGGAAAUAUGGAGCUAAUGGCACAUAUUGCUAGGAUGGGAAGGUCAUGAUGAACAAAAGACCACGUUCAACAAGACCCUAAGAUCCUUCUUUUGUAAUUUAACAGCUUGCAAUAAAGGGGAUCGUGGUACAAACAUUUUUCACAGGGAAUAUCCUGCAUACUUGAAUAUGAUGUCGGGAAGUUUCAAAUUAGACUAUUGUAAAUCCGGGAAAUUGUUCCAUCAUUUCCCUCGGAGUUGUUGCAUAGACAAGCAAACAAACAAGUUUAGACAUUAUUUCCUACUGGUUUUGGUAUAAUUGAUAUCAAGUAGUGGAGUGUCCUGAAUCAAGUAUGCAGAAAUAAAUAAUUGAUUGAACCGUUUCUGGGAUGAUUAAUGCUAUGCAAGUCUAGAGGUUGGGAGAAGAAAGCAAUGGCUUUUUCUGUAUCAUUUGUAGAAUUAGAGUUGGCAUUAAUAAAUGGUAGAAACAAAGAGGAUCAUCUAACUAAAACAUCAUGCUUCUUCAGUAUCAGCAAGCUUGUGUUGGCCCAACCUUGCAUCCCUCCUCUGAAUGCUGUUAGAAGCUCAAUGUUUGGGUUGAUGCAAAAUUAAAACAUCUCUGCGACAAAUGACAUUAUGAGAUGCUCUACUUUUACAGUUUCCUUGGCCGAGCCAUAGACAUGUUUUACUGCUGAUUAUGAUAUUCAAUCAUUAGCAUAUUGAGGACUGCAUAAUGUCAAAGGAUGUUGAGGCUGAAAUUCGCGCAGUCCGAUACGAUACCGUUUUCCUGCAAGGAAGAGAGGAGAAGAUCGAUGAACCUUGACGGCACCGGUGUGGUGCCUGCCAAGAGCUCUCCGACGAUGAAAUUAGUCACGGAGGUCUAAAAAGAAGGCAGGGAUUAAUAAUAGUUUUUACGUCGUACAUUCUUUAAUGGCUUGAUGCCCUAUUUAUGGCUGUCGAUUGGAAUCAAAAUCGUUCCGCUGAUAUCGAUGGUUGACCUUAUCUUCAGCUUGUGCGAAAUCAUGGGAGAUUUAUUACCAUAUUUGUCGGGAUAUGAUUUAAUCCUUUUGACCUCCUCUAGUUAUAGUAGGAUUAUUCUUACUUGUUGAACCACGUCAGAUUUGAUUUCAUUAUCCUUGAUAAUGAAAUUUAAUCAAUCUUAUCGAGAGUAGGGUAGGUUUAU